rnacentral:lncRNA from 1 species
AGAGGGCAAAGGCUGCCGGGUGAGAGGCAGGAGGAACAGCGCUAGGAAGGUUUGAGGAGGUGCUGCCCCCAGGAGGGAAGUGGGGUGGCUCCCCAUGGCUUCUCCCGGGGCUGGCACUGAAGCUGGAGCACAGGAUGUGCUGACGGGGGUCCAGAGGCAGAGUCCUUAACUUACUCAGCUUAAGCGUGGCAUGAGUCCCAACUGGGAGGGGCCCUGGCAGCAUGAAACCCCCACCCCCACUCUCUGCGACGGCCCAGAUGGAGGGCAGGAGGAACAGCGGUUCAGCCCUGGCUGGGGCUGCAGGGGCUGGGGUGUGUUACUCACUGGCACGAUGGAGAACUGCAUGAAGAGGCAGGCAAUGCGGUGUGCAGAGGGUGCUUGGUGGUUCUCUCCUGAUGGCCCCGCAGGGUCUGCAGCCUCCAUCUGGCCAGCAGAGGGCGCAGAAGGACUGCCUGGGCAGCUCGGACGUGACCGCCUGGAAGUGGUGUACAGCGUUCCUGACAACGUUCCCGGCCAAAACGGGUCCCGCCGCCCACUUGUGUGCAAGAUAACUGGAAAAUGUCUUUCUGUGUGCUCCGAGGAGAAUGCAAAGGCUGGUGGAUGUAGUGCCUUUCCUCUACUGCUCUCUCAGCUGGGGGCAAGAAUGACAGGACGUGAACAUGCACACAAGGGCCCGGAACUCACGACCCCCGACAGCGGUCUCCCCCGCCCCCCCAACCCCGCGCUUGCAGGAUUUAGGGCACUAGCACAGCACAGUCCACCCCUUGGGACUAGCACCCCCUCCGCAGUUCUGCUCUCUGCAGCAACAUAGAGUACAAAUAUUGUUCCUUUUGUUUCUUUUUUCCCUUUGGAUACAUUUUUAAUUACAAAAAUAGAGCUUGAUUGUUGCACCUAGACAGAUGUUUGCUUGCUUCUGGGCCCAUUGGGCCUCCUCUCAGAGCCUGGAACUCCCAGCCCCCAGCUCCUGGGGUGCCUUCCUCCAGGUGUGUCCCUGGCUUGGGCUGGGGGGACACAGCCCCGCUCCUGGGACGUGCAGGUUUAAAAUGCUAUUGGGUACCAUCUUUGAUCGAAUUCAGAGUGACAGACUUAGAGCAGGUCACCUCUCAGCUUCUAACGAGGCCAAGACGGAGGAAUCCCCACAGCACUGGGUUUGACUCUGUAAUUAAGCUGGUAAAGUGGAAAAAUAAAAGUAGGAAACCUAAGUGGAAACCAAACCAGAAAGCCAGGCAGCCCGGGAGUUCUGAGCCCUGCUUCCUUCCAGCUGUGCGGCCUCAGCGGCUGACGCGGUCUCUGCUGCUCUUCUAUAACACAGGAUGAUGGCAGCUACACCCUCUGAGUGGUGUCACCAAGGCCAAUGAGUCCUGAUGGUUGGAGUGUGGGUAUCCGGGGGCCUCUAGGUCACUACCCACUCUAGCCCUUUGCUCCUAGUCUCUGGGGAGGUGGCAGCAUAGGGGCAUGGAGCAGACUAGACUUUGCCUCUUUCUGCCCCCAGGCCAGUUGAUAUGAGCCCUGCUUGAGGGGUUCGCAGGGCCUGGGGAGCCUUCUUCAGCUUCUCUUUGUUUUCCUAAGAUGAAAAUUGUGACAUCUGGGCUUGUUGCGGGAAAUUUGUAAAUUGUGCACAGAGAAGAAUAUGAAAUUGCACAUAAA